rnacentral:rRNA from 1 species
UACAGAGGUCCCAAGCGUUGUUCGGAUUCAUUGGGCGUAAAGGGUGCGUAGGCGGCGCGGUAAGUCGGGUGUGAAAUCUCGGAGCUUAACUCCGAAACUGCAUUCGAUACUGCCGUGCUUGAGGACUGGAGAGGAGACUGGAAUUUACGGUGUAGCGGUGAAAUGCGUAGAUAUCGUAAGGAAGACCGGUGGCGAAGGCGGGUCUCUGGGCAAUUCCUGACGCUGAGGCGCGAAAGCGUGGGGAGCAAACGGG